rnacentral:rRNA from 1 species
AUUGAACGCUGGCGGCAUGCCUUACACAUGCAAGUCGAACGGCAGCACGGGUGCUUGCACCUGGUGGCGAGUGGCGAACGGGUGAGUAAUACAUCGGAACAUGUCCUGUAGUGGGGGAUAGCCCGGCGAAAGCCGGAUUAAUACCGCAUACGAUCUACGGAUGAAAGCGGGGGACCUUCGGGCCUCGCGCUAUAGGGUUGGCCGAUGGCUGAUUAGCUAGUUGGGGGGGUAAAGGCCUACCAAGGCGACGAUCAGUAGCUGGUCUGAGAGGACGACCAGCCACACUGGGACUGAGACACCGCCCAGACUCCUACGGGAGGCAGCAGUGGGGAAUUUUGGACAAUGGGCGAAAGCCUGAUCCAGCAAUGCCGCGUGUGUGAAGAAGGCCUUCGGGUUGUAAAGCACUUUUGUCCGGAAAGAAAUCCUUGGCCCUAAUACGGUCGGGGGAUGACGGUACCGGAAGAAUAAGCACCGGCUAACUACGUG